rnacentral:siRNA from 1 species
CUAAUUGUUGGUGUCGGAUCC